rnacentral:rRNA from 1 species
UACGGAGGGUGCAAGCGUUAUCCGGAUUCACUGGGUUUAAAGGGAGCGUAGGUGGGCUGGUAAGUCAGUGGUGAAAUCUCCGGGCUUAACUCGGAAACUGCCGUUGAUACUAUCAGUCUUGAAUGUUGUGGAGGUAAGCGGAAUAUGACAUGUAGCGGUGAAAUGCUUAGAUAUGACAUAGAACACCGAUAGCGAAGGCAGCUUGCUACACAAUAAUUGACACUGAGGCUCGAAAGCGUGGGGAUCAAACAGG